UGUCUCCUUUCUCUAAUCAGUGAAACUAAUCUCCCCGUGAAGAAGCGGGGAUACCACCAUAAGACGAGAAGACCCCAUGGAGCUUUAAACCCAACUACACCCCCACUUUCCAUACCCACUCAACCAACAGGGCCCUGUACACUUGGUUUUAGGUUGGGGUGACCGCGGAGCAAAAUCAAACCUCCACAAUGAACGAGAAUAAUCUCUUAUCUAAGAGCCACACCUCUAAGAAUUAGCACACUAACAUAAAAUGAUCCGAUAAUCGAUCAACGAACCAAGUUACCCUGGGGAUAACAGCGCAAUCCAUUUCAAGAGCCCCUAUCGACAAAUGGGUUUA
rnacentral:rRNA from 1 species